AUGAACGCUGGCGGCGUGCCUAAUCCAUGCAAGUCGAGCGAACAGACGAGGAGCUUGCUCCUCUGAUGUUAGCGGCGGACGGGUGAGUAACACGUGGAUAACCUACCUAUAAGACUGGGAUAACUUCGGGAAACCGGAGCUAAUACCGGAUAACAUGUUGAACCGCAUGGUUCAACAGUGAAAGACGGUCUUGCUGUCACUUAUAGAUGGAUCCGCGCCGCAUUAGCUAGUUGGUAAGGUAACGGCUUACCAAGGCAACGAUGCGUAGCCGACCUGAGAGGGUGAUCGGCCACACUGGAACUGAGACACGGUCCAGACUCCUACGGGAGGCAGCAGUAGGGAAUCUUCCGCAAUGGGCGAAAGCCUGACGGAGCAACGCCGCGUGAGUGAAGAAGGUCUUCGGAUCGUAAAACUCUGUUAUUAGGGAAGAACAAAUGUGUAAGUAACUAUGCACGUCUUGACGGUACCUAAUCAGAAAGCCACGGCUAACUACGUG
rnacentral:rRNA from 1 species